GACGAACGCUGGCGGCGUGCUUAACACAUGCAAGUCGAACGAGUGGCGGACGGGUGAGUAAUGCUUGGGAAUAUGGCUUAUGGAGGGGGAUAACUACGGGAAACUGUAGCUAAUACCGCGUACCAUAGGAUGAGCCCAAGUGGGAUUAGGUAGUGUGUGAGGUAAAGGCUCACCAAGCCGACGAUCUCUAGCUGGUCUGAGAGGAUGACCAUCCACACUGGGACUGAGACACGGCCCAGACUCCUACGGGAGGCAGCAGUUGGGAAUAUUGCGCAAUGGGGGCAACCUGAUGCAGCCAUGCCGCGUGAAUGAAGAAGGCCUUCGGGUUGUAAAGUUCUUUCGGUAGCGAGGCGUUAACUACAGAAGAAGCACCGGCUAACUCCGUGCCAGCCGCCGCGGUAAUAC
rnacentral:rRNA from 1 species